rnacentral:rRNA from 1 species
GGUUUAAUUCGAAGCAACGCGAAGAACCUUACCAAAUCUUGACAUCCUUUGACAACUCUAGAGAUAGAGCCUUCCCCUUCGGGGGACAAAGUGACAGGUGGUGCAUGGUUGUCGUCAGCUCGUGUCGUGAGAUGUUGGGUUAAGUCCCGCAACGAGCGCAACCCUUAAGCUUAGUUGCCAUCAUUAAGUUGGGCACUCUAAGUUGACUGCCGGUGACAAACCGGAGGAAGGUGGGGAUGACGUCAAAUCAUCAUGCCCCUUAUGAUUUGGGCUACACACGUGCUACAAUGGACAAUACAAAGGGCAGCGAAACCGCGAGGUCAAGCAAAUCCCAUAAAGUUGUUCUCAGUUCGGAUUGUAGUCUGCAACUCGACUACAUGAAGCUGGAAUCGCUAGUAAUCGUAGAUCAGCAUGCUACGGUGAAUACGUUCCCGGGUCUUGUACACACCGCCCGUCACACCACGAGAGUUUGUAACACCCGAAGCCGGUGGAGUAACCUUUUAGGAGCUAGCCGUCGAAGGUGGGACAAAUGAUUGGGGUGAAGUCGUAACAAGGUAGCCGUAUCGGAAGGUGCGGCUGG